CUAAGACACUAUUUCUUUUUAAUAGCGUAUGUUUAAUAGAAUCAAACAACAAAAAGUAUUGCAUACUAAUUAUUUACGUUCAAGUAAAUUUGAACUUUCUAAACUAUUUUGCAAAUAGUUUGUCGUAUGGUGAUGUUUUUUGGUGUUCAAUUUGUAUUUUGUGUUGUUUAUGUUUGCUUAGUUUGGAACCAUAAUGUAGAAACCCUAUUUAUUUAAUUCUUUGUUGUUGUUCAAUUCGUCUUUCUGGAUCAUGUUUGUCUUGCUCGGUUCUAAUUUCUUGAUUUCUUUCCUGCUUAAUCAAAGUUUAGUUUCUUUAUCAUGUGUUUAUGAUGAAAAAUUGUGUUGUCAUAUGAUUUGUAGGGCCAGAAUCCAUGUCCACUUAUGUUCAUGUUUUCUCUCACAAGCUGCUUGAGCUUAGCUCCAAAAGCCCGUAAGUAGGCUUGAAUAUUUGGCUUUGUUUUUGUGUUUUUUGAAAUCUUAUUUAGUGUGUAUGAGCUCAAUGGAGGAGAAGAACAUGUCACUACUCAAUUUGAACAGGCAGAUGCACGACAAAGUUUUCUAUGUUGGGAUGAACCAACUGCUAAAGGGGAAGAACGCAUUUAAUGACUGGCUUACUUCAAUUGAUUUAGAAGAAAAGAUGAUUAGAAGCUCGUCGGUGCAGCAAAAUAUAUGCCAGGAUCCGUGGAUUUCAUAAAUCAUUAUUUCAAACACCUUGAAUCAGUGGAGUAUCCUGUACCUAGGAAGAAGUUGCAAGAAAUUUCCUACAAGAAUAUGGUUAAGCUCCCCACCAAGCUCCUCUAAAGAAUGAUCGACAAACCCUCAAAGAAAAAGAAGUGUUGUGCACCACCCACUUGUUGGUCGAAGUUGUCCAAACAACCAUUUCAAGAAACAUCAAACAAUAGCUCCUGGAAACGAAGAAAAUCACCAGGAGCUGCUUGUAGCAGUUACACAAGCCCCCUUUUGUUUUUCUAAAUUGUACUAUCUUUUCUUUUUGUAUGGAAUAUUGUGUGCGUAAAAAAUUUGUGUAAAUAAUAUUGAUUUUGAAAAGAAAAAGUAUCAACAUACUAUAUUUUCCUAGAAAAUAUGUCCUAGCCCGUUUGCAAAGACUUCAGUUGAUGUAUUAUGUAUAUAGGUACUAAAUUUACAGCUUAAUAGUUAGAGACAUUGUGGAGGA